rnacentral:rRNA from 1 species
GACGAACCGUGCGAACGUUGUUCGGAAUCACUGGGCUUAAAGGGCGCGUAGGCGGGCUGUCAAGUCUGGGGUGAAAUGCUGCGGCUCAACCGUAGAACUGCCUCAGAUACUGACGGCCUCGAGGAAGGUAGAGGCAUGCGGAACUGUAGGUGGAGCGGUGAAAUGCGUUGAUAUCUACAGGAACGCCGGUGGCGAAAGCGGCGUGCUGGACCUUUUCUGACGCUGAGGCGCGAAAGCUAGGGGAGCAAACGGG